CGCUGGCGGCGUGCCUAAUACAUGCAAGUCGAACGAGUUCUGGUUGUUGAUCGGUGCUUGCAUCUUGAUUUAAUUUUGAACGAGUGGCGGACGGGUGAGUAACACGUGGGUAACCUGCCCUUAAGUGGGGGAUAACAUUUGGAAACAGAUGCUAAUACCGCAUAGAUCCAAGAACCGCAUGGUUCUUGGCUGAAAGAUGGCGUAAGCUAUCGCUUUUGGAUGGACCCGCGGCGUAUUAGCUAGUUGGUGAGGUAAUGGCUCACCAAGGCGAUGAUACGUAGCCGAACUGAGAGGUUGAUCGGCCACAUUGGGACUGAGACACGGCCCAAACUCCUACGGGAGGCAGCAGUAGGGAAUCUUCCACAAUGGACGCAAGUCUGAUGGAGCAACGCCGCGUGAGUGAAGAAGGCUUUCGGGUCGUAAAACUCUGUUGUUGGAGAAGAAUGGUCGGCAGAGUAACUGUUGUCGGCGUGACGGUAUCCAACCAGAAAGCCACGGCUAACUACGUGCCAGCAGCCGCGGUAAUACGUAGGUGGCAAGCGUUAUCCGGAUUUAUUGGGCGUAAAGCGAGCGCAGGCGGUUUUUUAAGUCUGAUGUGAAUAGCCCUCGGCUUAACCGAGGAAGUGCAUCGGAAACUG
rnacentral:rRNA from 2 species